CACGAUGUGCGCGCCGGGGCGCCGCUCCCGCUCCCGAGCAUAGCAGCAGCGGCGGAGCCCCGCCGCCGGCGAGCUCUCUCUGGCGGAGGAGGGCGGGGGCGAGCUCGCCGUCUCCCUCGCGCUCAACAAUCUCUUCUCCCACGCCGUCGCCCGCUUCACGGCCUACUUCGGCCUCAUGCUCCCGCAUCGACCGGCUCUUCGGCGCGGAGGACGUCCAUCAGGCGGCGGGCGAGAUCUCCGGCCGGGAUGGGCCACUGCCUCCACCAUCACCGCCUCUUCGUUGCCGCCGCCGCCGACAUGUGCGAGGGAUGCCUGUCUUCUUCAAAGAACGAGAUGAAUGAAGGAUGCAGAGGAGACAGGCUCCAUGGCGUGUUCCUGCUGUAAAGCUCUCGACCUCUCGUACAGGUACACGUUUCUUCUUCACGCGAGUUUGAAAACACACAUACUACCGCGAGCCGGAGAUCCAUCCACCCAGUUAUGGAUCCAUCAGGUACAAGCCACUAGCCACCAGGUAAUAGAGAUUUCCCCUCUGAUUUAGUUGGAUUGGGGGAGGCUAGAGAGGCUUGCUUGUUGUUGUGUUUUCUGCGUGAGAGAGCAGAGAGAACUGAGAGAUCACAUGGAUCCAGUGUACAGAUGAGCUUUUGGUGUGGGGGUGGUGGUGGUGGUUGAGGUAGCAGGGAGAGGAUGGUCACUAGAUGGAAGAGUGCAGGGAAUGUUGCUUGCUACUGCUACUGCAUGUGCUAUUGUGUUAUUUUGUAAUAUUUCUGAACUGUUAGCGAUAUUGCCGCAGUGAGAUGAGCUUAUUUUGUAAUAUAUGGUCUUUUCCAGUGCAUUGCAAAACUAACUAAUAGUUUGUGAUCUGACACCCUGGUAACCUCAUGAUUGGGUGGUGCAUGCAGGGCACACCUCCGAGCUAGCCGAUGCUUAGUAUACCAGUGUUCUGCUGCAUCCGGUGCGACCUCAAAGAAUACCUUCGUCUAGCUGGCCGUUGAGCACCUUAGGGACGACGAGGUGCAGUGCCUGGGGUGUAAGCAGUUCAACUACACGAUGAAGUGAGUAAAGGGGUUAAGACGGUUGCGUUGUGCGUGCGCUGCUUGCUUGCUGUCAACUUGUUGGACAACUGUACACGUAUGUGUUUUUUCAAGCCCACUGAUUUCAGCCUCUCCGUCUCCUUCAAGCCGAUGAGAAGUUCAGGGAUAUUCCUGGGAGUGCCUAUUAUGUGGCUCCGGAGGUGCUGAAGCGGAUAUAUGGAGCCGAUAAUUGCAUAUGGAGUGCUGGAGUUAUACUCUACAUUCUGCUGUCUGGCAUUCCUCCUUUUUGGGCAGCAGGGCAGGUGCGUUCUCUGGCUGGUUAUGUCAAUCAAUUUUGGGGCUGUGAUGGAUGCAAAGACUGGAAGAUCCUCCUGUGAAGCAUAAAUUUCAUUGUAUCCAAGGAGAUAUCAAAUGCUGAAAACAUGGGACUCAAAAUGUAUAGAGAGUCGGAGACACUGCUAAACUGUUAUUUAUGGGUGUCUACCAAAUUCACUAUCAACCACUGUUGUAGGAC